CCUACGGGAGGCAGCAGUGGGGAAUAUUGCACAAUGGGGGAAACCCUGAUGCAGCGACGCCGCGUGAGUGAAGAAGUAAUUCGUUAUGUAAAGCUCUAUCAGCAGGGAAGCAAAUGACGGUACCUGAGUAAGACGCCACGGCUAACUACGUGCCAGCAGCCGCGGUUAUACGUAGGGGGCAAGCGUUAUCCGGAUUUACUGGGUGUAAAGGGAGCGUAGACGGCAGUGCAAGUCUGGAGUGAAAGGCGGGGGGUCAACCCCCGGACUGCUCUGGAAACUGUAAGGCUGGAGUGCAGGAGAGGUAAGUGGAAUUCCUAGUGUAGCGGUGAAAUGCGUAGAUAUUAGGAAGAACACCAGUGGCGAAGGCGGCUUACUGGACUGUAACUGACGUUGAGGCUCGAAAGCGUGGGGAGCAAACAGGAUUAGAUACCCUUGUAGUC
rnacentral:rRNA from 1 species